CCUACGGGGGGCAGCAGUGGGGAAUAUUGCACAAUGGGGGAAACCCUGAUGCAGCCAUGCCGCGUGUGUGAAGAAGGCCUUCGGGUUGUAAAGCACUUUCAGCGAGGAGGAAAGGUUAGUAGUUAAUACCUGCUAGCUGUGACGUUACUCGCAGAAGAAGCACCGGCUAACUCCGUGCCAGCAGCCGCGGUAAUACGGAGGGUGCGAGCGUUAAUCGGAAUUACUGGGCGUAAAGCGUGCGCAGGCGGUUUGUUAAGCGAGAUGUGAAAGCCCCGGGCUCAACCUGGGAACCGCAUUUCGAACUGGCAAACUAGAGUCUUGUAGAGGGGGGUAGAAUUCCAGGUGUAGCGGUGAAAUGCGUAGAGAUCUGGAGGAAUACCGGUGGCGAAGGCGGCCCCCUGGACAAAGACUGACGCUCAGGCACGAAAGCGUGGGGAGCAAACAGGAUUAGAUACCCUAGUAGUC
rnacentral:rRNA from 1 species